AGGAACUAUACAUUUAUCCGGGAUGAAAAGUCUUAUAUCUAAUUCCAGAACUUAUAGUUAUUAUUAUAUACUGAAUUACAUGGAAAUUUGUUCAGCUGAGUGGUAAAACAAAUGCACGAACACACACGAACAAAUACACACAAACGUUCGCAUUUAUAAAGUUAGUAUGACAAUCUACGUGAUUCCUUAAUUACUUAUAUUAAAAUUUGUACAGAGGCUCAAACAUUCAGAAACAUUUUUCAAGAACUUAAGACAAUACCCCCUGAGAUCAUAUGCUAUACGCCACUGCUGUUUUGUGCGUCCAGACAAAUAAUAUAU